rnacentral:rRNA from 1 species
GAACGGAUCCUUCGGGGUUAGUGGCGGACGGGUGAGUAACACGUGGGAACGUGCCUUUUGGUUCGGAACAACUCAGGGAAACUUGAGCUAAUACCGGAUGUGCCCUUCGGGGGAAAGAUUUAUCGCCAUUAGAGCGGCCCGCGUCUGAUUAGCUAGUUGGUGGGGUAAAGGCCCACCAAGGCUACGAUCAGUAGCUGGUCUGAGAGGAUGAUCAGCCACAUUGGGACUGAGACACGGCCCAAACUCCUACGGGAGGCAGCAGUGGGGAAUCUUGCGCAAUGGGCGAAAGCCUGACGCAGCCAUGCCGCGUGAAUGAUGAAGGUCUUAGGAUUGUAAAAUUCUUUCACCGGGGACGAUAAUGACGGUACCCAGAGAAGAAGCCCCGGCUAACUUCGUGCCAGCAGCCGCGGUAAUACGAAGGGGGCUAGCGUUGCUCGGAAUUACUGGGCGUAAAGGGAGCGUAGGCGGAUAGUUAAGUCAGAGGUGAAAGCCCAGGGCUCAACCUUGGAAUUGCCUUUGAUACUGGCUAUCUUGAGUAUGGGAGAGGUUAGCGGAACUCCGAGUGUAGAGGUGAAAUUCGUAGAUAUUCGGAAGAACACCAGUGGCGAAGGCGGCUAACUGGCCCAUUACUGACGCUGAGGCUCGAAAGCGUGGGGA